UACAGGGGUGGCAAGCGUUGUUCGGAAUUACUGGGCGUAAAGGGCGCGUAGGCGGUCUUGUAAGUCUCGUGUGAAAUCCCUCGGCUUAACUGAGGAACUGCACGGGAUACUGCAUGACUUGAGAUCGGGAGAGGGAAGCGGAAUUCCGGGUGUAGCGGUGAAAUGCGCAGAUAUCAGGAGGAACACCGGUGGCGAAGGCGGGUCUCUGGGCAACAACUGACGCUGAGGAGCGAAAGCGUGGGGAGCGAACAGG
rnacentral:rRNA from 1 species